rnacentral:rRNA from 1 species
UACGUAGGGUGCAAGCGUUAAUCGGAAUUACUGGGCGUAAAGCGUGCGUAGGCGGUUAUGCAAGACAGAUGUGAAAUCCCCGGGCUCAACCUGGGAACUGCAUUUGUGACUGCAUGGCUAGAGUACGGUAGAGGGGGAUGGAAUUCCGCGUGUAGCAGUGAAAUGCGUAGAUAUGCGGAGGAACACCGAUGGCGAAGGCAAUCCCCUGGACCUGUACUGACGCUCAUGCACGAAAGCGUGGGGAGCAAACAGG